GCAGUCGAGCGGAUGAAGAGAGCUUGCUCUCUGAUUCAGCGGCGGACGGGUGAGUAAUGCCUAGGAAUCUGCCUGGUAGUGGGGGACAACGUCUCGAAAGGGACGCUAAUACCGCAUACGUCCUACGGGAGAAAGCAGGGGACCUUCGGGCCUUGCGCUAUCAGAUGAGCCUAGGUCGGAUUAGCUAGUUGGUGAGGUAAUGGCUCACCAAGGCGACGAUCCGUAACUGGUCUGAGAGGAUGAUCAGUCACACUGGAACUGAGACACGGUCCAGACUCCUACGGGAGGCAGCAGUGGGGAAUAUUGGACAAUGGGCGAAAGCCUGAUCCAGCCAUGCCGCGUGUGUGAAGAAGGUCUUCGGAUUGUAAAGCACUUUAAGUUGGGAGGAAGGGCAGUAAGCGAAUACCUUGCUGUUUUGACGUUACCGACAGAAUAAGCACCGGCUAACUCUGUGCCAGCAGCCGCGGUAAUACAGAGGGUGCAAGCGUUAAUCGGAAUUACUGGGCGUAAAGCGCGCGUAGGUGGUUUGUUAAGUUGAAUGUGAAAUCCCCGGGCUCAACCUGGGAACUGCAUCCAAAACUGGGCAGCUAGAGUAGGGCAGAGGGUGGUGGAAUUUCCUGUGUAGCGGUGAAAUGCGU
rnacentral:rRNA from 1 species